rnacentral:rRNA from 1 species
UAGGGAAUCUUCGGCAAUGGGGGGAACCCUGACCGAGCAACGCCGCGUGAGUGAAGAAGGUUUUCGGAUCGUAAAGCUCUGUUGUUAAGGAAGAACGAGUGUGCGAAUGGAAAGUUCAUACUGUGACGGUACUUAACCAGAAAGGGACGGCUAACUACGUGCCAGCAGCCGCGGUAAUACGUAGGUCCCGUGCGUUGUCCGGAUUUAUUGGGCGUAAAGCGAGCGCAGGCGGUUAGAAAAGUCUGAAGUGAAAGGCAGUGGCUCAACAAUUGUAGGCGUUGGAAGCUGUUUAACGUGAGUGCAGAGGGGGAGAGUGGAAUUCCAUGUGUAGCGGUGAAAUGCGUGGAUAUAUGGAGGAACACCGGUGGCGAAAGCGGCUCUCUGGUCUGUAACUGACGCUGAGGCAAGAAAGCGUGGGUAGCAAACAGG